GACGAACCGUGCGAACGUUGUUCGGAAUCACUGGGCUUAAAGGGCGCGUAGGCGGGUUCGAAAGUCUGUGGUGAAAGCCUCCAGCUUAACUGGAGAAGUGCCAUGGAUACUGCGAACCUGGAGGAGGGUAGGGGCAUCUGGAACGCUGGGUGGAGCGGUGAAAUGCGUUGAGAUCGGAAGGAACGCCCGUGGCGAAAGCGAGGUCCUGGACGUCUACUGAACGCUGAGACGCGAAAAGCUAAGGGGUAGCGGAAACGGGGA
rnacentral:rRNA from 1 species